rnacentral:misc_RNA from 1 species
GUUUCUUUUGCAACUGGCUGGAAAAGAGGAAAUUUCACUGGAAGAUGUAAUAGAGGUAGAUCCUUACUUAUAUCGUUGGUGCAAGAAGGUCAUAGAUGCUGAGCUCAUUGACUCUGAAGUUCUAGAAUUCGCUGAAGCUGAAUUGGGGCGCCAAUGGAGCACAGAACUAAGCCACGUGAAUAGCAAAAGUAGCAGGGAGUCUUAUGUUGAUCGUCUAAUUCAACAUCGCUUUGUCAAAUCUAUUUCUAAUCAGCUAUUAUUUUUCAGAAAAGGAUUUGAUAAUGUUUUUGGUACAUCAAUCGACCAGUUGUUCUCUUUUAACGGACGGGGUCUUAAAGAAUUUAAUGAGUCACUAUGCGGAUGCACAAUUAGUGGAACUUCACAACUCAACAAGAGAAAAUUUUUGAACAAUGACUGCAAUAAAAGUGAUACCCUGAUGCAUCGGUUCCAAAAGGUAAGAAGACAGGGUCGCAAUAUUACAAAUUGGCGGAGGGGUGUGCGACUGGGGAGCGGGUCAUUUGGAUCAGUCUAUGAAGGAUUUGCGACUGAUGGAUUCUUCUUUGCUGUGAAGGAACUUCUAUUGCCAGAUGGAGGGAUUAUUGACCUACUUGAGAAAGAGGUUGAUUUAUUAUGUCAGCUCACCCAUCCAAAUAUAGUUAAAUACUUUGGCACAAGUAAGGAUGAAUCGAAGCUCUAUGUUUUCCUCGAGCUUGUAAGUAAGGGCUCCCUUGAAAAGGUUUAUAAAGAAUUUCCGCUGCAGGAUUCCCAUGUGUCUGUGUACACGAAACAGAUAUUGAAAGGCUUGAAUUAUCUCCAUGAGCGAAAUGUUGUUCACAGGGACAUCAAAUGUGCCAAUGUAUUGGUGGAUGAAAAUGGAUGUGUGAAAAUCGCAGAUUUUGGAUUAGCAAAAGUAACCAACUCAAAUGCAAUCAUUAAGUCCUGUAAAGGGACUGCAUGCUGGAUGGCUCCUGAGGUUUUUAAUAGCAAGAUAGCAGGAGGGUAUGGGUUUCAAGCUGAUAUAUGGAGCGUUGGGUGCACUGUAUUGGAGAUGUUAACCGGAAAACCUCCAUACUCUGAUUUGGGUUUGGAAAAAGGUCAAUUAAUCUAUCGGAUUGGAAAAGGCCACCUACCUUCUCUUCCUGAUUCUCUGUCAGAUGAUUCGCGAGACUUUAUCCAGCAAUGCCUACAAGUUAAUCCAAAGGAUCGUCCCACUGCUGCUGAGCUUUUAGAACAUCCAUUUGUAAAUAAAUAGGUGAAUGCUUGCAAGCUGCAGCAACUCUCGUUCUUGACAAAUUUGUAUUAAUUUCAGCUUAAAUUGUGGCAGCUGAAACGUGAUCAGCUGCGAGGGAUUUUUGUUUUUUCCAAGUUCUUUUAUUAAUAUAGAAAUCCUGGAUUUCUAGGUCAGUUCUUUUUUUCUGUUUCAUUUGUUCAAUUGAGACUCAACUAUUAAGACAAGACUCUUCUAGAUCAGCUCUUGUGCUGGA